rnacentral:rRNA from 1 species
ACGGGGGGUGCAAGCGUUGUCCGGAAUCAUUGGGCGUAAAGCGUUCGUAGGCUGUAUGCCAAGUCUGGUGUUAAAGCCCGGGGCUCAACUCCGGAUCAGCACUGGAUACUGGCAAACUAGAAUAUGGUAGAGGUAAAGGGAAUUCCUGGUGUAGCGGUGAAAUGCGUAGAUAUCAGGAGGAACAUCGGUGGCGAAAGCGCUUUACUGGGCCAUUAUUGACGCUGAGGAACGAAAGCCGGGGGAGCAAAUGG